UACAGAGGUCUCUAGCGUUGUUCGGAUUCAUUGGGCGUAAAGGGUGCGUAGGCGGCGCGGUAAGUCGGGUGUGAAAUUUCGAGGCUUAACUUCGAAACUGCAUUCGAUACUGCCGUGCUUGAGGACUGGAGAGGAGACUGGAAUUCACGGUGUAGCAGUGAAAUGCGUAGAUAUCGUGAGGAAGACCAGUGGCGAAGGCGGGUCUCUGGACAGUUCCUGACACUGAGGCACGAAGGCCAGGGGAGCAAACGGG
rnacentral:rRNA from 1 species